UAUGUAUGCAUGUAUAGAAGACCAGUAUGCAGUAUUUUACCUGUAAUAUGCCCAACAUGUACUUUAAUUUGAAUUUUCGAAUGCAGUGGAACCACGAGAAAUCUUCGAGUUAUCCGAGUUAUCCGGACAGAAAGACAAAAGUGGGUAUAUUUUAAGACACUGACCAUGAAGUAUAUUUAUCCUUCAGUGCUUAGCAAACAUGGUAGAAUUGACGUUUUAUCCGAUUUAAUAGACAGCACUGACCGGCGACUGUUUCAUUUCUAAACGUAGAUAAGUUCCGCUUGAGCGAGCGGGUAGAUGAAUUGUUGACUAUCGUGUGUACUGUUAUCGGCGACCGCCUUAAAUCUCUAUAAAAACCGCCCAAGGGGGAGGCAGACAAAUCGUCACUAUAGAACGGUUGCUUAAGUUAUAGUAAUUGAAUGACUAGACGAGUGUAUUGCGAGAUAUUUCGGUGGGCGGGAACGAGUAACGCCCACCGAAAUAUCGAGUGUACACGAGUCUAGGACAUUCAAUAAAAUGGCUUGUAUCAUUGCCCGUCCAUCGGCUGUCAUUAAACUUCUAAAAACCAAUCAGAAUUGUCUCGGGUUUCUGAUUGAAUUCCCGCCAAAAACAAUCAACGAUCAAUUAGGAGUACAUUUCCCGCCAAAAACGUUAUCAGUUACAUGUAGUUCAAUGCGCACCCGACUUUGUAAGCGGUAAGCAGCAGGAUGUCAACCCCUUCAGCUAGCUUAAUGGUCAGUUUAAAGUACAGGGAUUUCCUUUCAUUACAAGGGGAUGAUUUUGACGACAUUGUGUUAUCUUAAGCAUUCAAGGAUAUAGAAAACGAAGUGAAAGUUUUUGAUGGGAUUUCCGACAUGUCGCUGACACCUAACGGGAAGGGGAUGCAAAACAUAUUUAGGAAUACACCACAUUACCAGCAAGAACAGACAUUAUUACAACCAAGAAGGUGACCGAUGUAUUCCGGAGUACUUCGAUAUGUACAAUGAUGUUUAUACAGGAGACUUCUCGGAGGAACCCCCAUUUGUUAUGGAAGACAGGUCGUCGGUGUAAACAAACCAAAACAACAUGUGAAAGUGAAAGGAAAUUACACACAAUUUACACUAUUGUACAAAUGCGGCGAACUGGACAACUGUUACACGUUAUGUUAAAUUUGUAAACAGGGAAUCGUAUACAUAAUAUUUGUAACCAAACAUGUUUUUUUCAAGUUUUAAUAACACCUAUGUACUACAGACCCUAUUCGGCAUUGAUACAAAAACAUCCAGAUCGCUGUAAACACUUGCGCUUGACCAGAAAAAAAUCAAACGUUACAAUGUUUAUUUUACUCACCUGUAUGUAAUUGGGUCUUAAAACGACCAACAGCCACAUAAUUAUUUUAAUACAAUGAUUAAUAAAA